UACGUAGGGGGGCAAGCGUUGUCCGGAUUUAUUGGGCGUAAAGAGCGUGUAGGCGGCCAUGUAGGUCCGUUGUGAAAACUCGAGGCUCAACCUCGAGACGCCGAUGGAAACCAUGUGGCUAGAGUCCGGAAGAGGAGAGUGGAAUUCCUGGUGUAGCGGUGAAAUGCGCAGAUAUCAGGAAGAACACCCGUGGCUAAGGCGGCUCUCUAGUACGGCACUGACGCUGAGACGCGAGAGCGUGGGGAGCGAACAGG
rnacentral:rRNA from 1 species